rnacentral:rRNA from 1 species
UACGUAGGGGGCAAGCGUUGUCCGGAAUUAUUGGGCGUAAAGAGCGUGUAGGCGGUCCGGUAAGUCAGCUGUGAAAGUCAAGGGCUCAACCCUUGAAUGCCGGUUGAUACUGUCGGGCUAGAGUCCGGAAGAGGCGAGUGGAAUUCCCGGUGUAGCGGUGAAAUGCGCAGAUAUCGGGAGGAACACCAAUGGCGAAGGCAGCUCGCUGGGACGUCACUGACGCUGAUGCGCGAAAGCCAGGGGAGCGAACGGG